ensembl:snRNA U6 U6 spliceosomal RNA
GUGCUUGCUUUGGCAGCACAUAUACUAAAAUUGGAAUGAUACAGAGAAGAUUAGUAUGGCACCUGCGCAGGAAUAACAUGCAAAUUUGUGAAGCAUUCCAUUUUUUU